rnacentral:tRNA from 1 species
UAGUGGUUCAAACAUCCGUCUGGUAACCCAGAGGAUGCGGGUUCAAAUUCC